rnacentral:rRNA from 1 species
UACGAAGGGGGCUAGCGUUGCUCGGAAUCACUGGGCGUAAAGGGUGCGUAGGCGGGUCUUUAAGUCAGGGGUGAAAUCCUGGAGCUCAACUCCAGAACUGCCUUUGAUACUGAAGAUCUUGAGUUCGGGAGAGGUGAGUGGAACUGCGGAGUGUAGAGGUGAAAUUCGUGAGAUAUUCGCAAGAACACCAGUGGCGAAGGCGGCUCACUGGCCCGGUACUGACGCUGAGGUGCGAAAGCGUGGGGAGCAAACAGG